rnacentral:rRNA from 1 species
AGGCAGCAGUGGGGAAUAUUGCACAAUGGGGGAAACCCUGAUGCAGCCAUGCCGCGUGUGUGAAGAAGGCCUUCGGGUUGUAAAGCACUUUCAGCGAGGAGGAAAGGUUGAUACCUAAUACGUAUCAGCUGUGACGUUACUCGCAGAAGAAGCACCGGCUAACUCCGUGCCAGCAGCCGCGGUAAUACGGAGGGUGCAAGCGUUAAUCGGAAUUACUGGGCGUAAAGCGCACGCAGGCGGUUGGAUAAGUUAGAUGUGAAAGCCCCGGGCUCAACCUGGGAAUUGCAUUUAAAACUGUCCAGCUAGAGUCUUGUAGAGGGGGGUAGAAUUCCAGGUGUAGCGGUGAAAUGCGUAGAGAUCUGGAGGAAUACCGGUGGCGAAGGCGGCCCCCUGGACAAAGACUGACGCUCAGGUGCGAAAGCGUGGGGAGCAAACAGGGAUUAGAUACCCUGGUAGUCCACGCCGUAAACGAUGUCGAUUUGGAGGCUGUGUCUUGAGACGUGGCUUCCGGAGCUAACGCGUUAAAUCGACCGCCUGGGGGAGUACNGCCGCAAGGUUNAAACUCAAAUGAAUUGACNGGGGC